rnacentral:rRNA from 1 species
UGCCGCGUGAGUGAUGACGGCCUUAGGGUUGUAAAGCUCUUUCGCUAGGGACGAUAAUGACGGUACCUAGACAAGAAGCCCCGGCUAACUUCGUGC